rnacentral:rRNA from 1 species
GACGAACGCUGGCGGCGUGCUUAACACAUGCAAGUCGAACGAUGACGACCGAGCUUGCUCGGUCUGAUUAGUGGCGAACGGGUGAGUAACACGUGAGCAACCUGCCCUUCACUCUGGGAUAACCUCGGGAAAUCGGGGCUAAUACCGGAUAUGAGCUCCUGUCGCAUGGCGGGUGUUGGAAAGUUUUUCGGUGUAGGAUGGGCUCGCGGCCUAUCAGUUUGUUGGUGAGGUAGUGGCUCACCAAGGCGAUGACGGGUAGCCGGCCUGAGAGGGCGACCGGCCACACUGGGACUGAGACACGGCCCAGACUCCUACGGGAGGCAGCAGUGGGGAAUAUUGCACAAUGGGCGAAAGCCUGAUGCAGCGACGCCGCGUGAGGGAUGACGGCCUUCGGGUUGUAAACCUCUUUCAGCAGGGAAGAAGCGAAAGUGACGGUACCUGCAGAAGAAGCGCCGGCUAACUACGUG